UACGUAGGGGGCAAGCGUUGUCCGGAUUUAUUGGGCGUAAAGAGCGUGUAGGCGGUUUGGUAGGUCCGCUGUGAAAACUCGAGGCUCAACCUCGAGACGCCGGUGGAAACCAUCAGGCUAGAGUCCGGAAGAGGAGAGUGGAAUUCCUGGUGUAGCGGUGAAAUGCGCAGAUAUCAGGAAGAACACCCGUGGCUAAGGCGGCUCUCUAGUACGGUACUGACGCUGAGGCGCGAAAGCGUGGGGAGCAAACAGG
rnacentral:rRNA from 1 species